rnacentral:rRNA from 1 species
AGAGUUUGAUCCUGGCUCAGGAUGAACGCUGGCGGUAUGCUUAACACAUGCAAGUCGAACGAAAGUUUUUAACUUUAGUGGCGAACGGGUGCGUAAUACGUGAGAAUCUGCCCUUAGGAGAAGAAUAACUGCUGGAAACGGCUGCUAAAUCUUCAUAUGUCGAGAGAUGAAAUAGCUUAGGCUGCCUAAGGAUGAGCUCGCGCCUGAUUAGCUAGUUGGUGAGGUAAUGGCUCACCAAGGCCACGAUCAGUAGCUGGUUUGAGAGAACGAUCAGCCACACUGGGACUGAGACACGGCCCAGACUCCUCCGGGAGGCAGCAGUGAGGAAUUUUCCGCAAUGGGCGAAAGCCUGACGGAGCAAUACCGCGUGAGGGAUGACGGAUUUUGGUCUGUAAACCUCUUUUCUCAAGAAAGAAGUUCUGACGGUACUUGAGGAAUAAGCAUCGGCUAACUCCGUGCCAGCAGCCGCGGUAAUACGGGGGAUGCAAGCGUUAUCCGGAAUCAUUGGGCGUAAAGCGCCUGUAGGUUGUUUAUUAAGUCUGUUGUUAAAGACUAGGGCUUAACCCUAGAAAAGCAAUGGAAACUAAUAGACUCGAGUAUGGCAGGGGUAGAGGGAAUUUCUAGUGUAGCGGUGAAAUGCGUAGAUAUUAGAAAGAACACCGGUGGCGAAAGCGCUCUACUGGACCAUUACUGACACUCAGAGGCGAAAGCUAGGGUAGCAAAAGGGAUUAGAUACCCCUGUAGUCCUAGCCGUAAACGAUGGAUACUAGAUGUUGUGCAUUAAGUACAGUAUCGUAGCUAACGCGUUAAGUAUCCCGCCUGGGGAGUACGCUCGCAAGGGUGAAAUUCAAAGGAAUUGA